rnacentral:miRNA from 1 species
GACGUCGAUAUUCGACGUCAUAAACACGAUCAACUUUGGUGUUUAUGACGUCGAUAUUCGACGUAAUACACCCGAUCAACUUUGGUGUUGAUGAUGUCGAUUCUCGACGUCAUAAACACGAUCAACUUUGGUGUUUAUGACGUCGAUAUUCAACGUC